rfam:Paenibacillus sp. FSL A5-0031 NODE_4_length_444515_cov_1.67923_ID_5125, whole genome shotgun sequence.
AAAGCUGUGCGUAACUGGCGGAACAUGGAUAGCCAUGAGGAAGCGCACAGAUCAUUAGCCGUACGCCUGGGCAAAGGUA